rnacentral:lncRNA from 1 species
UAUCCUCAGUACAUUGCCUCACUUGAUCCGAACAGACCUAGCAAGAGAAAAGAGCUAUCGGUUGCUGAUCAAGGUACUUAUAUGAUAACACCUUGUAAUUUCUCUAUUUGUGAUAAUUUGAUCUGGGUAUUGGAUACUAAAAGUCCGUUUAACAUUUGCAAUUCAUUGCAGGGAGUUCAGGUCAGUGAGAGAUUUGAAGACAGCAAAAGAUUCCUGAAUGUUGGAGGUGGAAGAUCAGUUCCAGUUCUAGCUUUAGGAACUCUCAAAUUAGUUUUCAAUUCUCAUAUAAUUGUCUUAAGUGAUUGUCACUUUUGUCUGACGUUUUUAUUGAAUGUUAUUUCUGUAGGCCUUUUGGCCAAGACUGAUUUUGAAAUUUCAAUGAAGAAGAGUUAUUGUAAUAUCAUUAUAAA